rnacentral:lncRNA from 1 species
CCGGUCGUCCGUCAAGGAUUCUGUUCACAGAACUCCUUGAAAACCUCCACGGUGUGUUUCAUAGCCAUACAUCAGGAUAAUAUCCGCGAUGGGAUAGCAUCAACAAAUAUUACAUUUUUAAAGACAUAUCAAAGGUACGAUAUAUUACAACCAUAGUUGAAACAAACUUAAUAGUGCAGGUUAGCGUGGUUCUAAGAAUUUAAAACGUAAACCAGCCGGAAGAAAAAUAAACAUUUAAGUUUUAUUCUAGAGUAUCAUGAGACUCAUAAGAUACCCUAGAUCUUCGGAGCUUCCUCUUCGGUGGGUCCCUGCUGGUUUUCUGAAAAUAACAACAAGGGAUCCCCUGAGUACGAAGUACUCAGCAAGUCUUACCCGACUAACCAAUAUAAUAGCUUUCUUUGGAAGUGUAUGCUAGCUUUUUGGUGUACUUGGCUAAUACAAUUUUUGCCGAAAAGCUUACUACAAGUGAUGUCUUAGUUUUAUCUUUUAUUUGGGUUAAGUUAUUACCUAACCAUUCUAGAUGAUGAGAAAAGAGUAAAUACAACAAUAAGGUAUUUAAGCCAUACAUCACUCAUUUAUCAGAAAGGUAUAUCAUUCAUGAAUUUACACUACGAUGCUCAACAGUGAUCAAGUGCAUUCAUAACCGAGAAUUGCGGCGAUCCGGAUCAUAAUACAUCCUGCAGGAGAGUACCCUGAUCACCAGCUAUAUACGACUGUACAGGUCGUACGUAACGACUUUUCGAUUAGUAAAUCCAAUGAUUGGGAAUAAGACUACCCGGACCCAGGGACGCACCCCCACAUGGGACCCCACGUCUGGCCCGAUCACCAUGUGAGUUUCAGGCUACGCCCCUGCCAAUCUCCAGCACGUCAAGCGCGGGUACGAAGUAUUCCCGAUCAGAGAGUUUACUAACCUACUGGGCUUUACUGGUCCCAUACCCAGUAAGUGAUCAGAUGCUUAUCACUUGAUCAAAGGUUAAGACAACGAAUCGGGCCUUAACCAAAUUAAUCUAGCAGACAGAACUACAUCUCUAGCUUCUGUCCGCUACCCAAUUCCAAGUUAACCUUCCAUAUAUCACAUGUAUGACUCAAAGUUUUUCCUUAAGGUUGGUAAACCAAGCAUUUAAGCAACUAAGCAUUUCUAGACUUGGGUUAUCUUCUAAGGUUUGAACAAGUGGCAAAGAUGUCCUUAAAGCAAGGUAUGAUUAUACACAAGAAUAGGUCUCAAGCAACUCCUAGACUUAGUGCAUACAUAUAGCAAAUAACCGAUAAUUGGACACAUGAAAUAAUAACUCCCAAAAUAGAUAGGUAUAAAUGCACCGGGGCUUGCCUGGGAUCAACAAAGGUUAGUUCUUCAGAAAACUUCUUUAUUAAAAGAGGCAGUUCACAUUUCGCGAAUGCUGUCCAUCUCCAGCUGAAUUCCAUGAAUUCCACUUCAGGAGUUGUGACGGCUACGAUUCAGUAUAUGCAAGAGUUAGAGAUGCAAACUUUUGAAUACAAGACUAUACAACUUUCCUUCAUGAUAAAGUUGCAAGCCAACAAGGACUAUACAAUUUAUCAUGAUAAAGUUGCAAGCCAACACACAAAAACCCCAAAGAUUAACCUACCAUUUUUAUUUCCUUUACUAAUCCUACCCUAGACCUUUUCUUUUAUUUUUAAAAGCAUUAUAAUAAUUUUCUAAUCUCAAAACUUAUUUCCUAUGACUUAAUAAUGGUUUGUGGAUAAUAAAGCAUUACUCAAGUUUUAUACAUUUAAUAAAGUUUAAGCAUUUAUUUAAAUACCUUAAAUAAAAAGGCAUUAAAUAAAUACCUAAAUUUUUAUUAUUUUUCCUAGGGUUUAAGAAUUUUAAUGCAUAAAGGAAAAUAAAACAAUCCUAAUAAAAUUGGUUUCACUAAUUUUGGGCACUUCUAGAAUUUCCUGUGAAUUAAAUGGUGAAAACCGUAUUUAAUCUAUUUAUCUAAUAAAAGAAAACCUAAGGUUUAUUCAUAAAACUCCGGCCCAAACUUUUCUUACCCAGCUUGCUUCUACCCACCAUCACUUCCACCUAGGGCCCAUCCGGCCUCCUACUUUCCUCCCUUUCCUCUUACUGACGAGUGGGGCCCACGGCCGGCACCCUUCCUCGGGCCGAGAAGUGGCCCGCUAGCUCUUAACCUUCCACGCAUGGGCCUUCUUGCAGCAGCCCCUUUUUGGGCCGGCUCCCCCUUCUCUCCUCUUUCUCAACCUCGGCCGGCCCACCUUUCUUUCUUUUCUCCCUCCGAUGCUCGGCCUGCUAAUCCGGCCCAUGGCCUCUCUUUUACCCGCCGGCCCACCUUCUUUCUUCUCCUUUUAUGCCGCGCGGGCCAGCUGGGCUGAUGUCUUCCCCCCGGCCCAAGACGGGCGGCCGGCCCUUUUCUUUUUCUUUCCCUUCCCUCCGUGCGGCUGACGGGCGGGCCCCCUCGGUCAGGGGUUUCUUCUUCCCCUGGCCAAGGUCGGGCGCACGCCGACGGGAGGAAAACGGGGCGGCCCGGCCGACGGCGGCUCUCCGGCGGCUUGAGCGGGACGGGGUGGCGGCGCCCAGGCCAGGCGCACCCGUGCCCAGCCGCAGCUCGCCGGGAGGCGGUCCGAGUUGGCCCCUCCACGGGCGGCUGUGGCUCGGCCAACUGUUGGCCAUGGCGGCGCACGGAGGCGGCGCAAGCGGCUUCCACGACUCCCCCUUCAGCUCCCACACUCUCGCAGGACGCCCCUAGACCCGUCAAUUGAGAAGAAAAAGCCGGUUCAAAGGCUUACCGUGGGAAUUUGGUGACGGCGGCCGGUGGACGGAAACGACGGCGAUUACUGACUUGCCGACGGGGAGAUGAACUUCGGUUGGGUUGAGGGCGUCAUAGCGGGGCUAUGGAAGCUGCUGACGGGUGAAACGGGAGGGGAGACGACGGCGCGGUUGAGUUGGCCGGCGGCGGCGCUGGUUGCUCAAGCUCGGCUCCCGGCGGUAAAACAAAAAGGCGGCGGUUAACUGGAUGAGGGCGAG